CCCAGCUCCCCCUGCCAGAAAUCUUCCUUUUGUUUUCUUCCCCCUUCGCUCUUCUCCUCACCACAUUAAUACUGAUAUAGUGAAAGCAAGGCGUAGGGUCCUGGAUGAGUUGCUUACUAACUGUGUGACAUGGGCUCUAAAUCCUUUGAUAAACUUAUUAACUUCGAGGUGGCAAUGUCGGAUAUUGGCUUACCGUAUUACUCCUCCAGGCAGAGGGGUUUCCUGCCGAGUGAAGGAUGGAGAAUGGCCCAUAAAGUGAUGCUCUCCCUUCAAAGGGGUGGGGCUCCAGCAAACCUCAGGAAUACAUAUAGAGAGCAUCCAGGACUGGUGGAGGGAUCAGUGAUGAUGAUGAUGAUGAUGAUGAUGAUGAUGAUGAUGAUGAUGAUGACGACGACGACGAUGAUGAUGAUAGUGAUUGAUGAUGAUGGCUACCAGCAUUCAUUACUGUAUGAACAUACUUUAAAGUAAACAAAUCAUUGAUAUUUGUUAUCUGGUUUGUUCUUCACACCAAAGAAGAUAUCCUCUGGGGCAUAAGUACUCAUUUCAUCCCCCAUUUUACAGG
rnacentral:lncRNA from 1 species